CGAAAUGGUAUUUUGUUUUCGUGUUGUAAUUCAGUGAGGAAUAAUAGUGGAGACCUGCUGAAAUGUUCAAUAAAUACUUUGAUGUUACCGUUUUCUAGACGCGUAAUACAUGAUUUCCGAAUACAAUAUUUGUUUAACUUCAUAUAAAUACUGGAACAAAAAUGUAUAAAUAUACUAGCUGAUUUGACUAGCUUUGCCCGGUAUAGUAUGUAUU